AAUCAGGUGAUGAGAAAAAAAAAACUGAAAUAAUGUGAUAGAACUUGGUUCCAUGAUUCCUUUGAAUUUAAGUUUUUGAUGAUU